CAAGGUAAGGUUAAAAAUUUACUUUUUACUGAAGUAUGAAAGUAAUAUCAAAUUGUUCUUAAUAUAUCUAUACUUACAGGGUAUUUAUGAGGAAGAAGGGGUGCAAUGUCUCACGUUGGACAUGUGACACUGUCAAGCAUCCAAAACAACAGGAUAGCACAUCAUGUGGUGCAUUUGCACUGAAGUUCGCAGAAAUGAUCCUAGCAAAAGAGGUUGUGGAUUUUCCUGUUUCCACUGAGGCAGUCUACAGCAUGAGAUGACCUAAAAGACUUGUGCCACUUCUGUGGAGAGAUGGAAACUGGAUCCAGUGUGACAUGUGCCUAGUGGUUCCAUCAAGCGUGUGUGGGAAGCCCACCAACUGAACAAAACUUUUACUGCUUUGCGUGUUCGCCUUAGCUUCCUGAGUUUGCUGUGGUGUGCUGGUUUAUGUAUGUUGUUUAAUGCUUCAUAAAUGACAUUUUAAAACUAUGUUGGAUAUUUAUUCUUCCAAGAAUUUAAUUUAACAUAGUUAUGGAAAGAUUUAAAUUCUAGGCCUAUUGCAUUUGUGAAAUGAAGAGCAAAUGUUUUUGAAUCAAAGUUAAAGACUUGCUGGUAAUUUUUUCCCCAUGUUAUUGGGAGAAUGGAUUAAAUCAGGCAGCUAAAACAGCUGAAAUAUAUGGUUCCCCUCUUUUAAUUAUGGCAAAUGAAGAGUAAAUAUGACCAAAUCCACAGGAUUUGUUGUUGAUGGUGAGAGGAAUAAGCACAGUUAAAGACUUUCUGGUACAUUUAUUCUUCCCAUAUUAUGGAAGAUUAUUUCAGGCAGCUGAAAUAUAUGGUUCCCCUCCUUUAAUUUUUGCAAAUAAAGAGUAAAUAUGACCAAAUUCACAGGAUUUGUUGGUGGUGGUGAGAGGAAUAAACACAGUUAAAGACUUGCAGGUAAAUGAAAUUCUUCCCAUGUUAUAGAGGAGGAACAGAUUAUUUCAGUAAACUGAAAUAAUUUGUUCCCCUCCUUUAAUUUUUGCAAAAAAAGAGUAAAUAUGACCAAAUCUACAGGAUUUGUUGUUGAUGGUGAGGGGAAUAAACACAGUUAAAGACUUGCAUGUAAAUUAAUUUCUUCCCAUGUUACGGAGAUGGAACAGAUUAUUUCAGUAAACUGAAAUAAUUUGUUCCUUUUCUUUUGAUGCAUUAAUGAGGUACUGCGCUCUGCGAGAGAGACAGGUAGAUUCAGGGAUUUGAAUUAAUGCUGAUUUUAAUCUGUGUUGGUUAUAAGAGUUCUGGUUCACUGAUUGGAAUAAAUGUGCUGUGAAAGCUGCAAGUGAUAUUUCUUUCCUCUUCUCUUUCCUAUCCUCUUUUCUUUUGU